rnacentral:lncRNA from 1 species
AAGCAGAUGAGAAAGCUGAUCCCGGUGCUUCAACAGCAAACAUCGGUUCUGACAAAAGUAUCCUUCUCUCAGUCCAUCCCUCGUGUUUCCCCAGAGUCCUGGAGAUCAGGUGUCAUUCUGCUGUCACUGCCACAGGCCCCCUCUCUCCAGGGAAGUCCUGUCAGUAUUGGGAGCCCUGUGCCUAGCUCAGCCCUGAAUAGUCAACUUAGCGAAUACUCUACCCAAAACACCAGGUUAACAAGGGUCACACUAGCCUCUAACAUGCUAGGGUGACUGAAUUCCCGAUCUCUGCCUCCACCUCUAAGUACUGUGAUUAAAAGCAUGCCUGCACCUAACAAAGGAGAUGGAGGUUUUUAAAUUUAUUAAUAAUAAUAAUAAUAGAGACAGGGUCUUACUAGAUAGUUAUGGCUACCCUGGAACUAUCUAUAUAGACCAGGCUGGCCUGGAACUCACAGAAAUCUGCCUACCUCUGCCUCUUGAGUGCUGAGAUUAAAAGACUGCACCAUC